rnacentral:lncRNA from 15 species
AUUAGGAUUUUUUUUUAGAGUGCAUCUUAACAAACAAAGACAAGGUAAAGGAUAAAGACAUGAUGGCUUCUAGCUAGGGCUGAUUCAAUAUAUCCAAUAUUAAUGUUUGCUGUAAUUAUUAUUAUGGAACUAUAAAAUGUCCUCCAUGUUCCCAGAAUAAAGACUAAAUCUUCAGGUGAUCCAGCUUCUUUCUACUGUGACCUGCCUUGGUCUCACAAUGGUGUGAAGAACUGAAACUGGACAUUCAGCAUGCUGUAAUUAUUAUUAUGGAACUAUAAAAUGUCCUGCAUGUUCCCAGAAUAAAGACUAAAUCUUCAGGUGAUCCAGCUUUUUAAAAAGGAUUUUCUCUGGCCCCUCCCACUGACAUUGAACUCAACCAAUGAGAUUGUUUCUGUCUCCAGAGCAGAAAUGUUUGAGGAACUAAAAGCACAAUCAGCUUGAUGUUGAGGAGAAGGGCUGUGCAACAGAGAGGCUCUUUAGUUUUUUCAUUCUACUGCAGUGGAAGAACAUUGCUCAUCUGCUGUCAGUUUGACUUUAACAACUCCAAAGACAUGUUGCUUUACCUCUUUUUAUUUUUCUCUCACUUUAUAGCCCUGGGUUCCAUGAACAUCAUAAAGCCAGACAGUACUGAAGAACAUGUUGCAGAGGGAAGAAACAUCAACCUGACCUGUAAAUAUGAUGGUGCUAUCAGCAAUAUCCAAUGGUACCGACAAUACCAGAGAUCCAGACCAGAGUUCCUGCUCUCCAUCACAGAGGGAGGAUCGAUUCAUCCAACUGAUUCUGAUUUCAAAGCUCACAUUAACAAAAACGAGAAACGUGUACAUCUGGAGAUCAUCUCAGCUAAAGUGACAGACUCUGCUGUGUACUACUGUGCUCUGAGGCCCACAGUGACAGGAAACACCAAAACUCUGUACAAAAACCUUUGGAGCAAAGACAACAGAAUACUCCACAACAUCCACUAGAGGGAGUCACACACUGUUAAACUUUAGGACGAUGACACAACAAACUCUCAAACAACUAAACCAACAUCUGAGAGAGUCCUUUUCUCUCCACUGCUGUUUGAUCCUUAAAGCUGAAACUGGUCCACACACCCUGACAGUUUGGAGCAGAGGACAAAUACAAAGAAAUAUAAUGAUUUUAGUUUAGUUCAUUUGAUCAUUUUAUUGUAUGAAACUCAAAUACACACAGAAAUAAUAAAUAAAUCAAAGCAAGACUGAAAACUGUACAGACUUUAAUGUACUGAUCCCUUUAGAUUUAUACUCUGGAAAUACACAUUAUAUGUAUUUAUAUAUAUUAUACAUACAAAAAAGUCCCAAACAACAAUUCUUACACGAUUGCCAGUCUUUCUUUUUCUGCUGACAUUUCCAGUUUCAAUCAGUCAUAUCUUAUCUGAUCAUCUAAACAGUUAACUGGUGUUAUUUGAAUAUAGUUUGUGUGCAGAGUAUAGAAACUCCAGUUGCCAACAUUGAUGUAGAUGAUGUAAAUGAUGAACUGUACCUUCAACAGGUAGA